AUUGAACGCUGGCGGCAUGCCUUACACAUGCAAGUCGAACGGCAGCGCGGGGCAACCUGGCGGCGAGUGGCGAACGGGUGAGUAAUAUAUCGGAACGUGCCCUGGAGUGGGGAUAACGUAGCGAAAGUUACGCUAAUACCGCAUACGAUCCAAGGAUGAAAGCAGGGGACCUUCGGGCCUUGUGCUCCUGGAGCGGCCGAUAUCUGAUUAGCUAGUUGGUGGGGUAAAAGCCUACCAAGGCGACGAUCAGUAGCUGGUCUGAGAGGACGACCAGCCACACUGGAACUGAGACACGGUCCAGACUCCUACGGGAGGCAGCAGUGGGGAAUUUUGGACAAUGGGGGGCAACCCUGAUGGAGCAACGCCGCGUGUGUGAUGAAGGUUUUCGGAUCGUAAAGCACUUUCGACCGGGACGAAAAACCUCUGGCUAACAUCCAGGGCCUGACGGUACCGGGAGAAGAAGCACCGGCUAACUCUGUGCCAGCAGCCGCGGUAA
rnacentral:rRNA from 1 species